AAAGCAUGGUGAGGGCAUUUCUUAAGUAUUUUCUUAAAUCUCUCCCAACUUUCAUAAAAUUGAUUCUCCCUCAAACUUUUCAAAAGAUAUGAUAUCAUUCCUAAGUUU